rnacentral:rRNA from 1 species
GGGAGAGCCUGGUCUGCGGCGUGGGGAAUAGGGAGGGUGAAAGCGUUACUCGGAAACGCUGGGCGUAAAGAGUGUGUAGGCGAGUAUAGAAGUCAGAAGGGAAAUCCUAUAGCUUAACUAUAGAAGUGCUUUUGAAACUGUAUACCUAGAAUGUGGGAGAGGUAGAUGGAAUUUCUGGUGUAGGGGUAAAAUCCGUAGAGAUCAGAAGGAAUACCGAUUGCGAAGGCGAUCUACUGGAACAUUAUUGACGCUGAGACGCGAAAGCGUGGGGAGCAAACAGGAUUAGAUACCCGGGUAGUC